UUGGCCAGUUAUCGUGAGGGUCCUGGGAGACGAGGAGUGUGGCGUGAGGAGUGUUCAUCACCGUCACAUUUACCCAUCACCAUGAAGGAAUGGGUCAGGUUGUUCAGUGAUGUGGUGGUGCGGGCCUUCUACGGCACCAGGACCGCCACCCCAGCUCCGCAGGAGGAUGCCACAAAGGCUGUAGCUCCUGCGGCCUUGUUGGGAGCAUCAACAGAUCGUACGGCACAGCAGUUUACGGAGGCGUCGCUGCCAUUAGCAGGCACCACAGUGGCGGCGUCGCUGCCUCAAUCAGGUAUCACAGCUGUCACUUCCCAUCCACCCUCAUUGCCACCCAAACCAUCAGUGACUCCUAGAGUGCAUUCUCACUCACCCUCGAGCACGUCAGAGGUAUUCCCCUCACUCCCUGUCACUCAGGUGCCCACACGAACUUCUCCUGCCGCACAGGUGCCCACACAAUCAUCCCCAGCCGUUCAGGUGCACAAACAAUCAUCCUCUUCCACCCAAGUGGACACACAAUCGUUCCCAGCUGCUCAGGUGCGCUCUAAAUUGUCUCCAGCAACUCCGGUACCAACACCGGUUUCCUCAACUCCUGUUGCAUCCGCUCAAGCACCUUCUGCCCCAGUAAGAAUACCAACACAGGAGAGUCGAGUUGCCUCUCAAGCUUCCCCAGAGUCAGCGACGCUGACAGGUGGAUGGUCGACAUCUACAGUGUCCAAAUCGUCUCCACAGGCACGAGAGAGCUCCUAUGGCGAUAGAGCGCAGGAUAGAGGAAGAGGCAGUGUGAGGGGGCGAGGCUGGGGCCGUGAGAAAGGCGGCAGGAAAGAUUCCAAAGGGAGUCAGCAUCCUCAGGGACCCUCACAAUCCCCCAACACCCGAAAUUCCAAUUCACCAGCUCCUUCUCGAUCGAAACGACCUGGUUCGUGGCGCAAGUGGCCAGGGGCAAUAUCUCGAUCCCUCAGUCCUCGUUCAUCACCACAGCCUCCGUGUGUGGACGAAGAUGGGUUCACACUCGUUCAAAAACGCAUGAAGCCAGGUAGGCCUCCACCCAGCUACACGACCAGCAUCCCAAACGAUACGAAAUACGUUUAUGGUGAUCAAGAAAGCAGCGACAACACUGUCCUUGCAAGUGACUUUGUACUGGAAGAGGAGGACUUUCCGGUCAUCGAGAGCGCUGCGAUCCUUACAGGAAGCCACCGUCCAGGAGCGUCACGAUCCCCGUCGAUUCACGAGCGACCUGUCUCACACGAGUCAGGAAACCGUAAACGAGCCUCAGUCAGCAGCCAGAACGACAACCUUCAUCCUCCAGAACAGGAUGCAAGACUAAUGUCAAGUCUCUCUCAGAAGCAACGCACUGGAGCUGAGAAAACAAGCGCUGGUCAGCUGAGCACACCUUCGCCGUCAUGUGUUACACAUGACGUCACUGAAAGCGUCGGCGAAGUAGGUAAAGGCGCCAAGUUUAAAACAAAAGCCAAACGCGAAAGUAAUUCGAAUCGGAACAGCGCACCUUGCCUCGUCGGUGAUGUGGUCAAGGAAAACAUAAAUGUAAAGGAAAACGACUCAAAUAAAAAGAAUGGUGUUAGUGAGGACAGAGUUGUCUCUAACCAGGACGUGCUGCUCCAGAGCCUCGCUAACAACACCGGUGAAGUAAUGUCAAGAGGUCAGGUGGAGCUCCUCGAGCAGGUCUGUGUGGACGUCUCUGGCGUCACUGCGCCCAGUGCGACGCACGAGUCACAUUCAGCAGCUCAGACGACAACCAGCUCGACUCCCGUUGAGAUCACAGACGGAGUUUCGUCUGAAAAUCUAGAACCAAAAUCCAGAAAACCCAAAAAGAAGAGAAACAGAAAGUUGAACAAAUCUGAGAGUCGAGACGGUAGUGAGGCUUUAGUCACGCAAGGCGAGCCUCAGGUGGUCGAGUCCUUAGACACGUCUCAAAUCAUGGAGAUGUCUGGCUACCUGAUGGAUCAUUACUGCGCCAAGACCAGCUCGAAGGCUCACCAAAUCGGAAAGGAUGAAAUGACCCAGGAACCACAUGUAAGUACCGAACUUGAAAACACAACUAGUAACGAGUUAGGUAUGGACGGUGAUGUUUGUAAAUCAUCAAAAUCCGAACCAUCUCAUCGCACCUCUGGAGAUGAGACCAACAUUGCUAGCAACUCGAGAGGUCAUGAAGUCGACAUUCCUCCGCCCGUACAGGACGCAACUGUCAUAAAUACUCAUGCAAGUAUAUCAGUCCCUAAGAACAGUGUAUCCAACUUAACCACUAAAAAGGGUCUUACUGAGGACCUCCAGGUAGAUCAAAGUAUAGGAAUUGAAGCACUGACGAUGAACUGUAUAUCUGAGAGCACUUACAAUGAUGACGAGACUAAUGAUAACGACUAUGUCUUCGUCUCGGCCGGGGAUUGUGUUGCAAGUGGAAUUAAAGAUGUGACGAACGAUAACAUUAACUUUAAUGUGAUUACCGAGGUAUCCCCUGAAGCGUCAGCUCCUGAUGAUAUACACGACCAAACACGAAUGAAGACAGAGAGAUCAUCUUUUAAAUGCCCUGACAGUGAAAAAAUGAACUUCCAAGAGUUUCCGGCUGGAUCUGAAGGGAUAGAAAUUCGCCCUGUAAAUGAAACUCUACCAGCCACCACGAUGCUGUUGGAUAAACAGACAGAAGAUAAAACUCUACCAGCCUUUGCGAUGCUGUUGGAUAAACAGACAGAAGACAUAACUCUACCAGCCACCACGAUGCUGUUGGAUAAACAGACAGAAGAUAAAACUCUACCAGCCUUUGCGAUGCUGUUCGAUAAACAGACAGAAGACAUAACUCUACCAGCCUUUGCGAUGCUGUUAGAUAAACAGACAGAAGAUAAAACUCUACCAGCCACCGCGAUGCUGUUGGAUAAACAGACAGAAGACAUAACUCUACCAGCCACCACGAUGCUGUUGGAUAAACAGACAGAAGACAAAACUCUACCAGCCACCACGAUGCUGUUGGAUAAACAGACAGAAGACAAAACUCUACCAGCCUUUGCGAUGCUUCUGGAUAAACAGACAGAAGACGAAAGAGUUCCUUGCGAUGGAGACAGAAAGAAAUCCGAAGAGCCAACGAACAGAAAACACAAUAAACGUAACAAGAAGAAAACUAAGACGAAUGAGGGAGACUGGAGUAAACAAGAUGAUGAGAACAAGAUCGAGAAAACUUCUCAUAAUCACAACGAAGACGACACCCAAGAAAAACUUGAUGAGGCGAGAGAUACUGAGACGCUGAUGUUGACGCACAACGAAGGUGAAGGAAAACAAACUAGAGGAACAGAACUCGAAAGUUUCACCGAUAAUGGAAGGAAACUGAGAACGGAAGUAGAUAAUAAGCACAACAUUGAUAACAGGAAAAGUCAAGACAACUUAUUCCCUAAGGAUAAUGCCGGAGACAUAGUACAAGACAAAACCGAAAAUAAUGACAAUGAAAAGACAUGUGUGACAGAGGCCGUCUCCCAUAAAGUUACAGACAUAGACAGCUCCCAACACAGGGAAAAUACAGUAAUACAGCAAACUACACAGGAAGAGGAGGCAAUCACAAGCCUGAACCCGUCCACAUCAGGCAAGACAGACGAGAUGGCGGUCCUAAUGGAUCUCAUAGCACAGAAAAGGAACAAAAUCCUCUCUCUUCAGAAGGCAUUAAAUAAAACGAAGACCGCACCAGAACUUCAACCCAGCCUGGAGAGCCAAGGCAGCGAGAGUGACGAGGAAGACCUCCACAAACAACACGAUUCGAAGACCGGCGACGAUGGUCCCCACGACGUCAGAAACUCGGUGGCUGGCCAUAGGGCGAGUCCAGAAGGGGUAGAGGAAGGGAGGGUUUGGGGAUUGGAAACUGAUCCUGUCACCACCACCCACACACUCUUCAACAAGAAGGUAGACAAUAGAGUUGACUAUGAGGCCGCCGCCCUGAAGGAUGGCACAAAAACAGAAGUUGAUGUAACGGAGCCAGGCCACGGCUGCCAAGUCGAACGUUGUGAUGCCGAACACGACGAACAGGCGAAAGGGAGAAGAAAAAGAGAAAAGGAGAAAAUCAAACACAGGAAAGAAGAUAGGUACAGAGGAGAGGGUGAGCACUCAGACAGGUCACGUCACGGUGAUAACACAACACGAGAAAGGGAAAAUAAAACGAAAUAUGAAACGGAAAAUGAAAAAGAUGAAGACACCUGCCAACAAGAACAGUCAGGUGAGGCUGAAAUAGAUACUGAAAGCAUUGUGAGUCGCCACGACGUAAAUAAAGCAGACAUAAGAGUGGCGGUCGAGCAAAAUAAGACAGAAAAAACAAAUAUCGCUGAUAAAAAGGAAACGAGAAUAAAGCAACGAGAAGAUACAUGUACAAAGCAAAAAAAUGAAGGAAACCAUGAGGAGGAACCAAAUAACCCCAUGGAACUAGAACGGAUUAGAAAAGAGGAAAAGAGAGAGAGGAAGAUGAGGAGACGUGAAGAGAAACAGAGACUAAAGCAGACACAAACAAACACUGAGCAGGACCAAAAUAUAGCCCAGGAGACGGUGGAGGAGGCAGAAGCAAGGAGAGAGAGGAGGAGGAGGAGAAGGAAGGAACGCGAGACUGAGGAAUUAGAACGUCAGAAACUUGAAAGAAAACGCAGUGAUUGGGCAAACCCAGUGGACGAGGCGCCAGAAGUGUCCGAGUCACAGCCAGUCGUGGAGCUCACCCAGCACGCUGCUUCGAACCCUCACCUUGCUGCUGCAGGUGAACCUGUCGACCUACCCAACCUUGCCGUAGUCGACCCCGACGCCUAUUCAAACAGUCACAAAGGUGGUAUAGACAGUCCUGAUACUGCUAUUGAUCUUGAAACUCCUCCAGAGGAUUUCGAGGCUUCUUCCAAGGCAUCAGAAACUGCUUCAGAAAUCACGACUACUGAAACUCCCGAGGCUUCUGAAGACACUUUUUUACACAGCACCAUCAGCCCAAUUGCUCUGGCGAGGCUGAUGAGAAUCAAUGAGUUGUUGGAGCUUCGAAGCAGUUACCAGUCACCGGAGGAGAGAGAAGAUACCUCCCAAGACACAGUGAGUCAGGUGAACGACUCUAAGACGCGUGAGUGUGAUGCUAAUGCCAGUGAUGACGUAAUGAAGACGACUCAGACUGGAGAAUAUUUUAAAGAUGACGAAGAAAAUUAUGGGAGUCGUAGACGGGAAACAGGAGAAAGGAGAAAUAGAAUAUCUAAAGAAAAUAUUGAUGAGGAGGGAAAAGGAGAGGUGGAGCCAGUACGAAGGAGAAGGCGUAGGGAAGAUGAAAGGAACAAGGAAGAGGAAUCACCAGAAGUCUCCAGUGGAUUCCAAGGCUUUAACAUGCUCAAGACAUUUGAGGAAUUGGUCAGUGAACGGAGAAAAAGACGAAGCAAGCGACUGGAGGAUUCGGAGAACCAAGAAUCACAGGCAGAGGAAAACUCACUACGACGAAGACGCACUCGCAUGGCUGAGGAAAGUGGUGGAGACGGAGAGUCUCAGACGGGUGGUAAGACCACCACUACUGCCACUCCCACGGUGAGAAGACGUCAACGGCCUACACAAGACACCAGCCAGACGCGUGACUCCCAAGCGGACGAAGUCAACAGCAAGGAUUACGAGGAGAUCUUCGCCCGGAGGAGACAGCGAAGGAGUCGAAGGCUUGAGGGAGACAGUAGCCAGGUAGACGAGGAUCGAACCCUUUCCCGCCACUCCCACGACUCACAAAUAGUCAACAGCAACAGUGAAUCCGACAGACAAUACGAAGAAAUAUUCGAGAGGAGGAGACGCAUCAGAAGAAUGAGAUAUGCAGAGUUACACAAGUCCAGUGAAGAGGAACAGAAGCAAAACACAACUCGUAUUUCGCCUUUGAGAGAAGAUCAAAGACCUCAGUCUCCCGAAGUAUGCGUUAGUGGCAAUGUCAGUGACGAGUUGAUCUCCUUCGGUACCAAGGAACUUACCAAACUUGACGCCAGGCGGUCGCCUGUUAAGAGUGAUAGUGACUCUAGUGACACGGAAGACAGUGACGACAGUGAAGCGAGUGUAUCAGAUCGCAAACUGAACGAGAGGAGUGAUAGUGGUGGCGACGGAGGAUUUAACAGCGAGAGGUCUCCUGAAGAUCAGUAUAGUCAUCGAACAUCAACAUAUGGUGGAAUCAGCUCCCCGAGCUACGGCAGCGGCCGGUAUGGGACGACCAGCACCAGCUCCACCGCCGGCGUGCCCACAGUGUCGUACCGCGCAGCACUCACCCGGGACCUCUCUGCCUCGCAGGACCGUCUGGCACCGGGGUACGGUUCCGAUGUCAACAAAAGCGGUUAUGGCUCUGGGACAGGGACUGGGAGCUAUAGAUCCCGUUACGGGACAGAAUCAUCUGCCAGCAAGGGACCGUCGUCGACGGCAGUGUCAGCUCUCUCGUCCAAGUUUGAGGAAUCGAAGCCUUCGUCCACAAGUCCAAGAGUGAGACCCACUUCCCUCGCCACCAGCAACAAUGUCGCCCCUUCUUCUCCCAGCACCACUCCCAUCACUGCAGCAGUCCCAGCCUCUAACCUGUACAGCAAGACUCUCUCUCCUUCCACUACUCUUCCCAGCAGUAGGCUUUCCCGGGAGCCUUCUCGUUCAGAGAGCGGCGGAAGGUCGCCUGGAGGCUCAGCCUAUACUUCCCGGCUCACAAGCGGUACAAACUUCGAUCGAUCGGGCUACAACUCUGAUGCGAAAUCGGGCUACGGCUCCGAUCUCAAUAAGUCUGGGUACGGGUCUGGAUAUGGUUCUGGGUCUGGCAACUAUACGAGUCGAUAUAGUUAUAGCCGUAGCAACAGCUAUAUGAAGGACACCGAGCCCAACACUACCACAUCAAGCUACAGGCCAGCUUAUAGUAGAGAGAAUAGCUUCCUAGGCAGCGACACUGGAAGUGGUUCAGGCUGGCGGAGUCGUGUGUAUGGAAACGUACCAGACACUACAACCAGGACACGUGAUCUCCACAAUUCUUCAGAACAAAUCCCAAAGUCCAGCUCCAAUCAUGACACUAAUGUUCCCAAGGACACUGAGGCUGUUAAACCAGCUUUCAAAGAUGCCAUUGAUAAGCUGACCAAAGCUACUAAGGAUGAGGGUAAGGAGGGAAAAAGUGUGGAGCCUCCAUCUCCAAACGCUGUGCGAGUAUUACCGAUCUUCACAGCAGAUGAUCUCAACAAGAAGAACAAAGCCCCAGCAGACUUCAGCUCUGCGGCUGAAAGUUCAGACGACGAAGACGAAAGAAAGAAUGACAAGCAAGACACGGUCAAAACUAAAGACCCAACAACCACAUCUGUUACAGCAACAACCACCUCUCCAUCCAACACAACAAUUUCAAGACCUUUCAGACAUUUAGCGGCUGUACCAGCUCUACCAACGAAGCCGAUAACGUCAGUAACUAGUGGUCUAGCGAUGCCCCCACCCUUCAAGCUCUCCUCCAGAUUCUCCACAUCAACGACUGAAAACUUGCCAAUCACUUCCACCUCCUCAAAAUGGCUAAAAGACAAGGAAGAAAUUCCAUUGAUCACUGCCACCACCACCGCUGCCACCACCACCACUACCACCACCACCACUGCCACCACCACCACUGCCACUACACGCCUGAGUGUGGGUGAUGCCAGUCCCAAAGCCACAUCUCCUCUACCACCUCGCUCUCCUGUCCUCGGUGCCAAUAAGACCACUUCCGUCUCCCCAACUGGCGAGAAGAAAAGUGGUCUGGGGGUGGCUAACAAAGAAUGCAGGAAAUCUGUAUUGAAUAUGGAUAUCAAAGCAAGUGACACAGAUGCCAUGAGGAAGCAACAAGAGGAGAAGAGAGAGGAACUGAGAAGAUUGAGAAGGCAGAGAGGUACUGAGGAUGAUAGUAAGAGCAAUCAAAGACCUCCAGUAGGAAGCAUUAGAACGAGACCGGGACCCAAAUUGGAAGAAGUUGGUCGACAACGAUCAAGAGGCUCUGGGUCAGACCUCUCUAAAGCAUCGUCUCAGACAAAAGUUGUGGAGGACGAUGAAGACUCGAGUAGUGACGAGGAAGAAAGACAUGAUGACAAGCCUCCAGUGGCACCCUCACUGGAGAAAAUACCAUCCAAAAGCAAGUUGGUUGAAAGGAAACAUUCCAAGGGCAAGGCAGAUGCUAUGAGGCGCAGUGGGUCUAUGCAGCGCUUCCGCCAGUCAUCCCAGACUAGCAAAACGUCCACAUCGGACUCGUCCUCCUCAGAUAGUGAAGAAGUGCCUGUUGUUACUGUCGUUCUUAAGUGUAGGCGGCGACAAAGCUCCAGGGACGAUGUGCUUGGGUCAUCUGGAGACAAUCAUAGUCGCCCUUCAUCCCGCACCUCGCCUCGAGUGAUAAAAAGGGGUUCCUCGGAAAACGUUGUGGAUGGUAAUCGGUCGCGUAAUAACUCUUCAUCCAAUAUAGUUGGACGCAGGUCACGCAACAACUCCCAAGCCACAGCAGAAUCUGGUUCCCGUAACAGCUCCUCCUCGAACCUGGCAAGAUCCCGUUCAGGAAACAAUUCACGCACUGGCAUGGACGAAAUUGAUAAGUCGAGGAGCAACUCAAGGUCCAGCAUACUCGGGGACAAGAAGUUAUCACUCGGACCUGACAUAGACAUCGGUGAGAACAAGAGAUGUGACUCUUCCCGCACAAAUGGUGUGAAGAAAACCUCUAGCAGCCACAGCUCCAGUAAUCUUUCAAGGACGAAAUCUGGAGACAAACUUAGGAAAUCUGGCAGCAGUGUACAGAGAACCAAUGACAGGAGGGUUAGUAAGAAGUCUAGUUCAAGCGACUCUGAGAGCUCCACCACAUCAGACUCGAGUGAGAGUGCAGGUGAAGAAGGUCAGUUCUUCUCCCUCACCAAGUCCCGCUCCAUGAAAAAAUCUAGAUCUUCCUUGAAAUUCCCUGUCAGUGUCUCUGAAGAGACACCCAGACUGGAGGAGCUGGGAGCGAGGACCAGUCCAGAUGGAAAAGAGCAUGUAUCUAGGACCAACUCUGAUGCCAACAUGCGAGUGACGUCACCAUAUGAUAAUGUAGCAGACAAGGACGAUGACAGCGAAGAACUGAAGCCAUUCUACUGGCCGGUUGAUAACUCUGCUUCGAAAACGGACCUCACAGAGAUAUACAAAAAACGCGAUAGCCGGGCAGCAUCCAAUAAGUCAGUUUCUGAGCUGGGGACUUUUGAAUGGCCUAGUGGCAGUCCACCAAUCACUCGAGCUCUUCAGCGUCAGGAUAACUCUGAGAAUGAUGUUCCACAGAUCAACGCCAGCAGGAGCAGCUCUAAAGGAAAUAUUGAAAAGAGCAGUUCUCUUGAAGCAUUUGAAUGGCCAUCGGGAAGUCCAGAACUUCCAAGGAAAAAGCUGGAUGAAACAGGAGACUCGGUGAGCGAGAUAGGAAAUUUUGAGUGGCCAUCUGGCAGUCCAGAAAUGCAUAUUCACAAAAAUGCUCAAAAAGAGGAACUAGGAACUUUCUCGUGGCCAUCGGGGAGUCCAGAAUUGUACAUUCGUGAGAAAGAAAACCCAGCCGGUGAAGAAGGAGCACACGAAGAAGAAAGUGCAUGUGUGUGGGAGGGCAGCCCAGAACUCCCCAGAAGAACAGUGUACCGCAAUGCCUAUGAGAGUGAAACUGAGACAGAUUUGGGAUGGUCGGACGAAAACGCCGAUGUCUCCAGAUCGCAAAUGCCACAAGUUGCUGAAGAGACGGAGGAGGAAUAUAACUUCGAGUGGCCCAGCAGUCCAGAGUUAUCCCGAAGAAAGCCUUCGGCAUAUGGCUACUCCGAUGCCUAUGACACUCAGGCUGAGACGGAAGGCUUCGAAUGGCCCAGCAGCCCCGAGAUGCAGCGGAUGAAGAACCCCAACUUUAUCAGCUUCACUGAAGAUAUUGACGCCCUGUUGAGUAAUGGCGUGGAGGACAACUUCAGCAAGAUGGAGCAGCUGAUGGGUUACUUGCCGCCUUCAGAAGAGGAGACUAAAGAGGAAAGUAAGACUGGUGCCCAGGAUGACAUUGAGGAAGAGGAGGAAGUAGAGAAAGUUGAAAGCGAAAAAGAAACACAGGAUAAGGAAGAGAAGAAAGAAUCUCUGAAGGACAGAGCUCGACGUAAUCUGUCCCUCUUCAUAGGAAAACUGACGAAUAUAGACGAGAUCUUGGGCACGGUUCUCCAGCCUCUCUCCGUCGGCUCCUCCAAGAAGACCUCCAAGUCGGAAGAUGAGGGUCGAUUGCGAAGGAAAGUUCUCCUGCUUUCUACUAAGAAAAAACGGAACUCGGGCCUGGAGGAGGUUGCCGCCAGUCAGGUGAAGGUGCACGACGCCCAGGCCAACCGCGCCCUCAUCCACGAGAACCUGGAGGAGUACGACGCCUCCGCCGUCAUUGUCAGGGAGAAGAGGGAGGCGCUGAGAGCUGAGAUAAUCCAGGCAGUGAAGGCUGGGCUGGACGACGCGGCCCUGCAGGCCUACCGGGACGGCGACUACGGGACGUACCUGGACUUGGAGUCCUCUCUAGCCGAGCAGACGGAGGACAUCGAGGGCCUUACUGACAGCAAGAAGAACGCUAUCAUCCUCCGCACGCAACUGUCCGUUCGUGUGCACGCAAUUAUUGAAAAGCUGCUCAACUCCGAGGGGCGAGAGUUGAGACGAUCCCUGUUCUCUCUCAAGCAGAUCUUCCAGGAUGACAAGGAUUUGGUCCACGCCUUUGUCCAGAACGAUGGUCUUACCUGCCUCAUUAAGGUGGGGUCGUCCGCCGACCAGAACUACCAGAACUACAUCCUCAGAGCCCUGGGACAAGUGAUGCUGUAUGUUGACGGGAUGAAUGGCGUAAUGGAACACCAGGAAACAAUCCAGUGGCUAUACUCUCUUAUAUCAUCCAAGUAUCGUCUGGUAGUGAAGACCGCUCUCAAGUUACUGCUCGUGUUUGUCGAGUACACAGAGUCCAAUGCUCUCAUAUUGGUUAAUGCCAUCGAAACCAUAGACUCCUCCAGAGGUGACUUGCCGUGGACAACAAUUAUGAGACUAUUAGAAGGUCGGGAUAGUCUUGAUAUGGAGCUGCUCACAUAUGCCAUGACACUAGUCAACAAGACAUUAAAUGGCAUCCCAGACCAAGAUACCUAUUAUGACCAGACAGACUAUCUUGAGGAGCAAGGCAUUGAAACCCUAAUUGCAAAGUACAUGCAUCGACCAGACAGUGACUUGGAUUUGCUCCAACAGUUUACUAUCUAUGAAGCAGUUAUGGCUUACGAGGACGGUGAUGACAUCUGCCGCACAUGUACUAUCGAUCCAACCAUCAGACAAGUGCCCCGCAUAUGUUCUGCCGAUCGAGAUUCCAUUGAUCGUCGCAAGUCACGAAGACACCUCCAGUCACCAUCUCCUAUAAAAAUGAAGAAGGGUAAACACUUGGGAGUUAACCUGGAGGACGGUGGUGGUAGACUAUCCAGCAGCGACGACGACCACAUCACAGUCAUCAACAUCAAUGGCGAGUCAUUUGGUAUUCCGCACGAUGACUUGUCUGGUGUUAAACAUGCUGAUGCAGGUGUAACCCCGGCACUUCGAAGACGACGUGAACGAGCCGAACGCCAUAGAACAUUUAUAAACGAGCAAGAAAUUAUUAAUGAGACUCGACGAGGCUCUCAGUCAUCUGACAACAAUGUGGAGGAUGAAAACCGUAAAAACAGUGAAAUAUCUGGCUUAAAUAAGCAGGCAUCAUGGAUGAUGGAUAUGAUGUACGGAAAAAGGGAUGAUGAUGGAACGGGCCGCAGGGAGUCAUUAAGUAACAUACAGGAUAUUGCAUCAAGAAUAUCCAGCCUUCAAGAUAAAGAAAAUGUAGAUAAUAAUAUGCGUUUACCUAUUGAGAUUAAUUCCGGGGCUUCUGUUAAGGAGCUCCAAGACAAAGUGAUAAAUUCCAGUACUGGUCAAGUCAUGGAGGGUGAAAAGCAAGGACGUAAAGGUGACAUUAGUGACCGCAUCAAUAAAAUCAAGGAUGGUUUAUCGAAAUCACAUUCCAAAGGGGACGUAAAAGACAAUCUCAUUCAGUUACCAGAAGCACCUAAAAAGUCAGAAAAUGACAUCCAAUGGGAGCUUCUGAUCAAACACCUGAAUCGACCCCUUCAUCUCUGUGACUUAGACUUCACAGAUCUGACAAUGAAUGAUGACACACUCAUAACAGAAACACAGAAAACUGGUGUGCCACCUCCACCUCCGCCUCCACCUUCUGGGGUGCCAUUGCCGCCUGGAGCCCCACCACCACCUCCGCCACCAUCAGGAGUUCCGCCAGCCCCUGGGAUGCCACCAGCUCCUCCAGCACCACCAGCUCCUCCAUGCUCAGUAGACUCACCGCAGAAUGGUUUAGAUCCACACCUGCAAGAAUUGUCUCUCCUCAAGCCUCAUAAAACUAAGAAAACCAUUAAGCUGUUUUGGAAAGAGGUUCGAGAGGACCCUCGAAUACACGAUGGCACUGUAUGGGAUAAGAUAGAAAAUGUUUCCAUUGACACUCAAAAACUUGAACAUCUAUUUGAGUCCAGAGCGAAGGAUCUCAUUGCAAAGGAGAAGCAACAAGAACAAAAGGGGGUGAAAGAAUUGAUAGUAUUGGAUCCCAAACGCUCAAAUGUCAUAAAUAUCGGCAUGACUAAGCUACCGCCGCCACGUACUAUCAAGACCGCAAUUCUAAAGAUGGAUUCUUCAAUCAUCAACCGAGAAGGCAUUGAGAAAUUAUUGACAACAAUGUUGCCAACACCUGAUGAGAAACAUAAGAUUCAAGAAGCUGCCAUUAGCAACCCUGAGCUGCCUCUGGGCUCAGCAGAGCAGUUCCUCAUGAUGCUCUCGUCCAUCUCGGAACUUCCUGCCAGAUUAAAACUCUGGAUCUUCAAACUAGACUAUGAGAACAUGGAAAAGGAAGUUGCAGAACCAUUGAUGGACUUGAAGCAAGGAGUUGAAGAUCUUCAAAAGAAUCAUACUUUCAAAAUCAUCUUGUCGGUCCUCCUGUCUGUUGGUAAUUUCCUUAAUGGUACAGAAUGCCGAGGCUUCCAAAUUGAGUACUUGUCUAAGGUGCCCGAAGUAAAAGACACAGUUCACAAGCACUCUCUUCUCCACCAUUUGUGUCACAUGGUCAUUGAAAAGUUCUCAGACACUUCAGAUCUAUAUUCAGAGAUUGGUGCUAUCACACGUGCCUCAAAGGUGGAUUUUGAAGAGCUGUCUAGCAACAUUGAUAAGAUGGAGGUAGACUGCAAGGAGUCGUGGGACCAUCUCAAGGCCAUCGCAAAACAUGAUGGCCCAACGCAGAUUAAACUCAAAAUGUCUGAAUUUUUAGCAGACUGUGCCGAGCGUAUAAUUGUUCUGGGCAUUAUUUAUCGACGAGUAAUGACCAGAUUUCAACGGUUCUUGGUGUGGUUGGGUUCCCCAUUACACAUGGCUCAAGAAAUUAAAGUACAGCACGUUUGUUCGACCAUUAGCGAGUUUGCUCUUGAGUAUCGAACCUGCCGAGAACGUGUCCUGCAGCAGAUUCAGAAGAAGGCAAACCAUCGGGAGAGGAAUAAGACCCGUGGAAAGAUGAUCAUGGAGAUGGAGAAGUUCAAGAGACCAAAACAGACUAAAGAGGAAAAGGCCGACUCAGACCUGAGGCAGCUUCUUAACUAUUCCGAUGUUUCGGACACUGAGACCAUACGAGGCAAGAAUACUUGGAGAAGAACGAGAGACGGUAAAACACGAAGUCGAGGUGAGGAGAGCAUGGCGGAGAUUAUGGCCGAUGGUGAUGAUGCCUUGUUAGACUCCCUGGUCAAAACAGCCACACAGGGGCCGUCAUCUCGCUCCACACCCAGAGAACGAAAGAGGUCACGGCAUGCAGACCGCAAGUCUUUCCCAGCAGCUAAUGGACCAAGAAGAUCAAGGUCAAGAAAAGGUGUACCCGACUUAUCCCACCUGGAGGUGGUGACGUUGCCUGAAUGAGGCAUCGCCGGCCACUCGACUUGUGCUUCAGACGCAUCGCUGCCGAAAUCCUCUUGCGGCGCACCCUGAAGACUGGACUCACAGAGGAAGAAAAACGCUUGCUGGCCAUGAUUGCAGCCCAGACUCGCUGAGUCACAGCCUCGUCUCUCUAAACCUGCCGUCACCCACUCCUCCUUCAACCUCCUCCUGGUCAACGUCUAAUGACAUGCAGCACUAUGGCUCGUUCUAGAGUUUAUCUGACCAGUUGCUUGAAAAUGCUGAAACUGGAGUUUCUAAUGUAGAAUGAUAUUAGCAACAGUUAUCCAGUGCAUAAAAGGGUGAUGUGAUCUAGUCAGACAGGAGUGAUUAAGAACCAGUAUUCAACUGCUCUGAUAGUGGUAGCUAUAGACAUUUAAAAGAAAAAGCUUCAUAUCGCUUUAACCUUUAUGGUUUGUCAGAUCUACUCGUCCAUUUGUAAUGUGUAUAUUUUGAUGCAAAUGAGCAUUUUUAGGAUGUAGUAAAACUCAAAUGAUCUGCUCCAUGCGAUGAGUAACAAAGCUAUCAGCUGCCCCGCUCCUUGUGAUGAGUCUCGUAUAUGCUCUCACUAUCAAUUUGUUUCCUUUAUUACUUUUAAGAGAUUCCUGUUAGCAGAGUCCCAUGAAGUAGACAAUCUUGUACCCCUUUUGCCAUUAAUAUACUGUACAUGAUAUUUCCACCAGCUGCUGAACCAAUAAGUUGCAUCUUUUAUUUUUGUAUUUUACAUUCUCAGAUAAGAAUUAGUUAUCAUUUAUGCCAGAUUUAACUGUUCAUUUUAACUUUUCUUUAAUCAACUGUGAUGUCAUGUUGAGAUUAAAUUAAGUCUCCUUCAAAGUAAACAAGUUCUGCAUCAUGUCACGUGUCAUGAAAUGUUUAAUGCUUUGUCAACAGGUCUAUAGAGAACCAUUUUACUGGAUAAACACUUGAAAAACUAACGACGUACAAGCAAAUGUCUAACUUUAUUUUUUGGCAAUCAUCUCUAAUGGCAUAGUCUGGGAGAGGAAACUAGCAAGUGUGUGAAGGGUAUCCCUGUUUUUGUCGAUGAAUGAAAAUUACACUUUCAAUCUCCCACAGCAAAUUGUUAUAUUCGGCUUUAUUCUCUGCCAGCCUUAAAUAAAAAAAAAUAUAUACAAGUGUCAAUUUACUUGUUAACUGUUCAGUCCACCAAGGUUAAAUUGUGAUACUGUACUGAAAAACAUUGAAAAGUUAAUAAAUUUGAUUCAAAUAGAUUGAAGACUGGUGAAAGCCAAAACUCCUGACCAUACAUUUGUAAAUUUGUAUGUGAACUUAAGUUCUUAUAUACACUCAGUACAUAGGCUACUACUAUAGUGUAUGCAUACAUCAGGAAAACUGCAAUCUUCAGUUUUUAAGUACAGUAUACAAUACAUAUACAGUACACACAUUCUUAAAAAUAAAUAUUUUUAAAUUUUGGUACCAUUCACGAAAAUACAAUGCAAUUUAUAAUUUGUUUGAUUUUAAAUUUUAUUUAAAAUUGUCACAAGAUGCUACAUAGUUCUCAAGAUUGUUGAUUGCGUAAUGGUGGCCAGCUGCGACAUAUGUGGGCGGUUGCAUGGGGACUUUAGUUUACUGAAUGAUAAUUAUGUGUAAGAUGCAAUGCUAUAAUGCAAGCAAGUCAGGUUUAAAUAUAUAUAUUGACAUUUUGUCACUAUUGAGAUUUUGAUACUCAAACCGUGCUUUAUGGAUUUUCAAUAAAAAAAAUCCUGCGUA
rnacentral:misc_RNA from 1 species